rnacentral:rRNA from 1 species
GUGAGGAAUAUUGGUCAAUGGGCGAGAGCCUGAACCAGCCAAGUCGCGUGAAGGAAGAAGGAUCUAUGGUUCGUAAACUUCUUUUGCAGGGGAAUAAAGUGCAGGACGUGUCCUGUUUUGUAUGUACCCUGAGAAUAAGGAUCGGCUAACUCCGUGCCAGCAGCCGCGGUAAUACGGAGGAUCCGAGCGUUAUCCGGAUUUAUUGGGUUUAAAGGGUGCGUAGGUGGUUUGAUAAGUCAGCGGUGAAAGUUGGCAGCUUAACUGUAAAAAUGCCGUUGAAACUGUCGGACUUGAGUGUAAAUGAGGUAGGCGGAAUGCGUGGUGUAGCGGUGGAAUGCAUAGAUAUCACGCAGAACUCCGAUUGCGAAGGCAGCUUACUAAGCUACAACUGACACUGAAGCACGAAAGCGUGGGGAUCAAACAGGAUUAGAUACCCCUGUAGUCC